rnacentral:rRNA from 1 species
UACGUAGGGUGCGAGCGUUAAUCGGAAUUACUGGGCGUAAAGCGUGCGCAGGCGGUUCGUUGUGUCUGAUGUGAAAGCCCCGGGCUUAACCUGGGAAUGGCAUUGGAAACUGGCGAGCUGGAGUGUGGCAGAGGGGGGUGGAAUUCCGCGUGUAGCAGUGAAAUGCGUAGAGAUGUGGAGGAACACCGAUGGCGAAGGCAGCCCCCUGGGUCAACACUGACGCUCAUGCACGAAAGCGUGGGGAGCAAACAGG